GACGAACGCUGGCGGCGUGCUUAACACAUGCAAGUCGAACGGAAAGGCCCUGCUUUUGUGGGGUGCUCGAGUGGCGAACGGGUGAGUAACACGUGAGUAACCUGCCCUUGACUUUGGGAUAACUUCAGGAAACUGGGGCUAAUACCGGAUAGGAGCUCCUGCUGCAUGGUGGGGGUUGGAAAGUUUCGGCGGUUGGGGAUGGACUCGCGGCUUAUCAGCUUGUUGGUGGGGUAGUGGCUUACCAAGGCUUUGACGGGUAGCCGGCCUGAGAGGGUGACCGGCCACAUUGGGACUGAGAGACGGCCCAGACGCCUACGGGAGGCAGCGGUGGGGAAUAUUGCGCAAUGGGCGGAAGCCUGAUGCAGCAACGCCGCGUGCGGGAUGACGGCCUUCGGGUUGUAAACCGCUUUCGCCUGUGACGAAGCGUGAGUGACGGUAAUGGGUAAAGAAGCACCGGCUAACUACGUG
rnacentral:rRNA from 1 species